UGACUGCUGUGGCCCUGCGACCUGACUGCCACCUUCCAGGACUCUAGCCCUGGCUCCUUCUAACCUUCUCGCCCCUCAGUGCCCCAGAGAGGCUGCUAUGCGGACAAUUAUUCAUCAGCCGGAAGAAAAGGAGGGUCUCGCUGUGUCGCCCAGGCUGGAGUGCAGUGGUGUGAUCUUGUCUCACUGCAACCUCCGCCUCCCGCGUUCAAGCGAUUUUCGUGCCUCAGCCUCCCGAGGAGCUGGAUCUACAGGUGCGCACCACCACGCCUGGAUAAUUUCUGUAUUUUUAGUAGAGACGGGGUUUCACCAUGUUUGCCAGGCUUGUCUCGAACUGUUGACCUCAAGUUAUCCUCCCGCCUCCGCCUCUUAAAGUGCUGGGAUUACAGGCCUGAGCCUCCGCGCCAGUCCUACACGUUGGAUCUUUUCCCAGACCUCCUCCUCAGACGUGGAGCGUACAGAUGAUGCUCCAUCGGUUACUCUGAUCCUGACUUUGGGACUGCCAGAUAAAACUGGGAGAAACCCUACAUUUACUCUUACUGUAACGUAUUGGCUUGAAACUGCAGGUCAGAACCCAUUUAUGUUGAGACCAAAAGACUUUUUUUCCAAGUAGAAUGAAAUAGAAUAAAAUAGAAUUGAAAAUA